CAGGUUUGCAAGGAUUGAGUGCCAGCAGCAGCAGCUUUCAGGAAACAGGAAGCUCCAAGUUCAAGCACCUCACCCAGAGGGAAGAGCCCACCACUAGGAAGGCCCAGCCUGGACCACCAUGGAGGAGCUCAUCAGCCCAGGGAUCCCCAGAGCGCUCAGUCCAACCUGUCCUGGGCUUGCCAGAACCCCCAGAUCCCCCAGCCAUGCUAGGCUGGCGCCUGCUCCAGGAUAGAACAGAACUUGCUAGACUGUUGAGGGUGGUAAUUCAUGAGCAACAGCCAGCGCCCCAGGAACAGAAAGAGGAGCCCCCCGACAGUAAGAACAAGGAUGUUGCUCCAAGUCAGGCUGGAAACCGCCCAAAGUGCCAGGAGCCCCUUACACGAUGCUCACCAGCCGAGCUGUUGAAGGAAAGGGAUCCCAGGGACGGUCACCCUCAGAGAGCAGCAGGUGCAGCUGCCGGAUGGGACGGGGAGCCCACACCCUCGGGGAGAGCCCACCCAGCUAACGCAGGACGAGAUCGAUGGUGACAGUCGGUCACCAGCUGACGGAGACCUGCGGGCAGCCUACACCCUUCAGCCCCAGGGGCCCCCGCCCGAACGCUGCAAAGCUCAGGAGGUCCUGCAGCCCCGUCGGGGCAGCAAAGUGACCCCGAGGCUGGAGGAAGCCCAGGGCCCACGGGACAGGAGGUAGGGGAGGCACGGGGUCUGCGGGUGGACGGUGGGGCGAGGCUUGUAGGGGCGGUCAGGGAGUGGAGGGGGCGCGCGGGCCCUGGCGCGGAGCAGCAGGAGGCGGCUCUGCUUCGGCUGCUGGAGCUUCACGGAGCGGCCCGGCGGCGCAGGCGGCAGGAGUGCGAGCAGCAGCGGCUCCGGGUCCUGGAGCGCCUGCGCAUCGCCAAGAACCGCCACUGCAGGGUUCACCCCCUGGGUCCCCAGCCCAACCUGGCCCAGCUUCCGACACAGGCAAGGUCCCCCUUCUUCCCAAAGGACUGGGGGCACAAGUAUACUUUUCCGAGGGGGUGGG